UACAGAGGUGGCAAGCGUUGUUCGGAAUUACUGGGCGUAAAGGGCGCGUAGGCGGUUCGUUAAGUCCUGUGUGAAAUCCCCCGGCUCAACUGGGGAACUGCACAGGAAACUAGCGGGCUUGAGUCCGGAAGAGGAGAGUGGAAUUCCUGGUGUAGCGGUGGAAUGCGCAGAUAUCAGGAGGAACACCAAUGGCGAAGGCAGCUCGCUGGUACGUGACUGACGCUGAGACGCGAAAGCGUGGGUAGCAAACAGG
rnacentral:rRNA from 1 species